UAAGUCGUUGAUGAUCGUUUU
rnacentral:piRNA from 1 species